rnacentral:rRNA from 1 species
CCUACGGGGGGCAGCAGUGAGGAAUAUUGGGCAAUGGAGGAAACUCUGACCCAGCCAUGCCGCGUGAGUGAAGAAGGUUUUCGAAUUGUAAAGCUCUUUCGGAUGUGAAGAUGAUGACGGUAACAUCUAAAGAAGCCCCGGCAAACUUCGUGCCAGCAGCCGCGGUAAUACGAAGGGGGCAAGCGUUGUUCGGAAUUACUGGGCGUAAAGGGUGUGUAGGCGGGAAAGUAAGAUAGUGGUGAAAUGCCUGAGCUCAACUUGGGAACUGCCAUUAUAACUAUUUUUCUAGAGUGACAGAGAGGAUAUUGGAAUACCCAGUGUAGAGGUGAAAUUCGUAGAUAUUGGGUAGAACACCGGAGGCGAAGGCGAGUAUCUGGCUGUCAACUGACGCUGAGGCACGAAAGCAUGGGGAUCAAACAGGAUUAGAUACCCCGGUAGUC